GUCAUUUAUCAGAUUAAGUUAGUUCGAUGUAGGUUUUUAAUGAUUAUAAUAAUUGCAAAAUUAAUCUGUUAUUAUUAAGUAACUUUGACUGCAAGUGUUUAUUGUCCAGUUGCAAGUAUUUCAUAUUCGUUUAGAGCGAACAUACACAUAGUUCUGGAGUUGAAUUAAUCGUUAACUUUGUUAAUUAUUUUGUACUUAUAAACUCCGAUGAUGCCUUUUAUAUUUAUCCGAAUAUUGCAUGGCGGGGUUUUAACAGUAUUUUUUUUUUACUUUUGUCAAUAGUUUGUGUGUAUUUCAAAAGCCCAUCAAAUUAUAAACUUGUUAUCCGGGUUUUUAAUAAAUUUUAGGUUUCCACCAUCACUAAAGACACAUGAUAAGAAACAUAACGUCCAGUGCCAAAUAUUUCAUGCAUAAGUUUUAUAGAUUCUUUUUUUUAUGAAUAUUACUGUUAUGUGAUCAACGCCGGUUUU
rnacentral:lncRNA from 1 species